UACGUAGGCAGCAGGCGUUGUUCGGAAUUACUGGGCGUAAAGAGUGUGUAGGCGGUGCUCUAAGUCUGUUGUGAAAUCUCCCGGCUUAACCGGGAGGGUGCGGCGGAAACUGGAGUGCUUGAGGGUGGGAGAGGUAAGCGGAAUUCCUGGUGUAGCGGUGAAAUGCGUAGAUAUCAGGAGGAACACCUGUGGUGUAGACAGCUUACUGGACCACUUCUGACGCUGAGACACGAAAGCGUGGGUAGCAAACAGG
rnacentral:rRNA from 1 species